CCUACGGGGGGCAGCAGUGAGGAAUAUUGGUCAAUGGCCGAGAGGCUGAACCAGCCAAGUCGCGUGAAGGACGACUGCCCUAUGGGUUGUAAACCUCUUUUAUAUGGGAAUAAUAAGUGCUACGUGUAGCAUGUUGCCUGUACCAUAUGAAUAAGCAUCGGCUAACUCCGUGCCAGCAGCCGCGGUAAUACGGAGGAUCCGAGCGUUAUCCGGAUUUAUUGGGUUUAAAGGGUGCGUAGGCGGUUUUUUAAGUUAGUGGUAAAACGUCGGGGCUUCACCUUAAUUUGCCAUUAAUACUGUAAGACUUGAGUUCAGACGAGGUAGGCGGAAUAAGUUAAGUAGCGGUGAAAUGCUUAGAUAUAACGAAGAACUCCGAUAGCGAAGGCAGCUUACCAGACUGCGACUGACGCUGAAGCACGAGAGUGUGGGUAGCGAACAGGAUUAGAUACCCGAGUAGUC
rnacentral:rRNA from 1 species